CCGUCCCCGUCCCACGAAAAAAAGCCCCAAAUCGUGCGUGCGUGCUCCAACUGAUUUGCGGCCUGCAGCGACUGGCGAGCGGCUGCAGCUGGCAUUGCGGCGAGGCUUGGCAGCGUCGGCGCCGGCGCCUGGGGAAGGAGUAAUCGGCGGCGGCUAAGAAGGGUGGUGCGAGAGAGCAGACGCUCCGCGGCUGGCUGCGCGGGUCGUGGCUGCGGCGGGCGACGCGGCGGGCCGGCUUGAGCCUAGGCGGCAGCGGCGGCUGGGGCCUGAGCGACCAGCAGCUCGAAGGGGACGCCUACCGCGAGCUCGCAGAGUGCAAGGCCUCCUCCUCCACCGUGGCUGCACAGCGCUCCGACCUCCCGUCAUAAUUCGUUCCGCCGAUCGUAAUUCCAGCUUUGGGAUCCAUCAAUCGAUUGAGUGUUGGCUGGCUGGCUAAACGAUCCAUCUGCUGGGAGCCUGGGAGUGACAGACUGAUUGGAGAGGGAGUACCAUAUAUACGUGCCUGGUGGAAUGAUCAACGGCGCCGUCGCCUAUGCCUCCUCCUCUUCCUCGGCCAGGUUAGCACAUGGCCGCGAAUUCUAGCGCCUUGCAAUUUUCCAUUUCAGUUAUCUGGAGAAGUUCUUUACCUCAUUCUCUGGAGAGUUCAGGCCCAUGAUAUAGCCCAAUAAUAAUAACAUGUGAAAAUCUUGUUUUAAAGCUCUGUUUGUGCAUCCUCUCCCUUAAAACUAAGUUGCACACCUGUAUAUAGCCCAAUAUUUCUUUUUCUGGUAUCCACGUCCAUGUAAUGUAUUUUGCUUAUGAAUGUGUCUUUUGUAUCGGCAAAUGUGCAACAAGACAUAUCCUCAAAAUGUUGUAUUGCUUGAAUGAUGCAAUUCUUGGUCGUUACUUUUUGUAA